UACAGAGGUCUCAAGCGUUGUUCGGAAUCACUGGGCGUAAAGGGUGCGUAGGUGGCGUGGUAAGUCAGAUGUGAAAGCCCAGGCUUAACCCUGGAACUGCAUUCAAUACUGCGUUGCUAGAGUACUGGAGAGGAGAUUGGAAUUCACGGUGUAGCAGUGAAAUGCGUAGAUAUCGUGAGGAAGACCAGUGGCGAAGGCGAAUCUCUGGACAGUUACUGACGCUGAGGCACGGAAGGCCAGGGGAGCAAACGGG
rnacentral:rRNA from 1 species